rnacentral:lncRNA from 1 species
ACCACAGCAGAGACAAUGCUGGAUCCUUAACCUGCUGAGCCAUAAGGGAACUCCAGUAAUCAAUGAUUAACCUAAGCUAAUCCUUCCCUACCCUUUACUUCCUCAGUAUAAACACUUAGUCCGAUAUUUACCUCUGAUUUUGCAAAUAAACAUUAAAAAUCAGUCUCAGAGUUCUUCAAACAUGCUUCUUCCAAUUCCACCAUUCUAUGCCAAAAUCAGCCUGGCCCUAGCAACCAGAACUCUUGUUUCCUGUUCAAAGGUUAUUUUUUACAAAUAUUCUAGGGAUUUCCCAUAUUCCCACCUUCCUGUUACUGCACUCCCUCCCCAAACUCCUCUUUCCACAUUCUCAAUCUGAGAUGACUCCUUGUCCACACACCCAUUCAAAUAGACUCUGCACCCUCCUACAACUUCUGUGCACCCCCAUGCAUUGUGCCCCCUCAUCCCUAUCUAAUUUUCUCUUCAUCUCUUUCCAAUGUGGCAUUACCCACUCUGUUUGGAACUAAGUCUUUGGCAAUUAUAGAAGGUAUGUUAUUAACUCUGCCAGCUGCUUCAUCACCUGCACUCACGGCAAGCCAAUUUAAAAAAUCUUUGUUCUUGGAUACUCUGCUUAUUCUAAUUAGAGAGCUUAUCAUAGGGAUGCAGCAAAAUUCUGCUUUGACAAUGAUCUUUCCUCUCUACUUCUAUAAUAUAAAGUAAGGAGCAAAUUGUGUUUCAGACAGCAACCUCCAGCCCUCAUGUUAUUAAUUUUUCUUGGUGUAUGUUAAUUUGUGGCAUCCACUUACUACAACCAAGCCCUUUCUCCUGGACCUUACUAAAUAUGUGUAUGACAUUGUUUUUGAGAGCUCUAGACAUUGAAGAAGGUGUGAUGGCACACAAGAUCUGGUGUUUUUGGAAGGAAAAUCAGAGCAACAAGUUUUCUAGUUAUAUUUUAUCUACAUUUUCUCUCUUUCAUUUAAUUAUUUUUCACUCAUAUUUUUUCCAACUCUCACAUCAUCAGACAGGAAACUGAAGGAAGUAACAUUUGUUGAAGAGAAGUUACUUUACGGGGUAACAUAGGAAGCAAACAUGGAGGGGUGCUACUGAGCAACCGGAUUGGUGUCUUCUAGGCAUUACUGAAGCCAGAAGUUUGUUUGUUUACUGGUUUCUUCCUAAAGCCAAAAAAAUUUUGAAGUCUCCAUUCUACUUAGCCUAUGUAUUAGUAUACUAAUUAUAAAUAAUAUGCUAAUUCUCUUAUUUAUAUCAUUUAUACAUGCAUAUAUAUAAAAUCAUUUAUUCACUCAUUCAUCCAGUCAUUCAACAAAUCCUUACUGCGAACACUGUGUAAGCAAUUCUGCUAAAUGCUGAAGACUCACAGAAAGGCAAGGUCUUGGUGUGCAAGAAGCCUCAAAAUAAUCAAGGAUCCAAAGAAGUAGAGAGAUCAUAAAAUAUGUCAUGAGCACUGUGAGUACCAUCAGUGGAGUUGGGAGUAGCUGCCUUUUCAAAAGUCUUAAAAGAUGCAUAACUGUGGAAUAUAUGAGAAAGCUUUAAGUUGUAUUCAUCUAGACUGGGGAGACGGCACAAAAAGUAUUUUAACUUUGAACAGAUUGUAUAGUCAUUAACUUAAAAAAAAAGAGGUAAAAGUAAUUCUUGGAAGUAUUGUCAUAGUGAAUUAUUGCAUGACAUUGUAUGCUAGGCAUGGUUACUAAAAUAGCCACUGUGAGGCAAUCACUGUAAUUAUCUUUCCAUGGCUAGACGUAUUUGUAAAAGUCAAAGAAAAAUCAAGUCAGCCUAAGCAGGUUGCAAAACUGAAAGAAACAGAGGGAAAUAUUCUCACUUAAUGAAGCAUUGAUAAAGGAGAAAGUAAGUUGAACGAAUUAGUAAUUCAGUCACAAUGAUUAGGGUUUUUUUUUUUUUUUUUCCCCCAGUGGAUGGUCAUGAAUUUGGGGAAAAAAAAUAAGUAAACCUAUGAAAGAGACACAAUAUCACUUUUUUUUUUAUCUGAGAAAGAAAAGAACAAAUCUGGAGAAAAUGUUAUUUCAGGCCUUGCCUGAGUCUACAAACUUUCUUUUCUAAGAGAAGGAUUGCCUGUCCAGUGAAGCUGAACAAAGACUUGAAGAAGCCAUGACAUCAAUAAUUCUUAAUUAACUUUGACAGCAAGAAAAAGUACUGUAAGGGCUUGAAAGGUAGGUGGCUGGCCAAGAAGCCAGAGGUCAACUGAGAUGAUAGAAUUUCCGGUGCCUGAAAAUGCCAUGUAAAGACAGAGAACAUCAUGGGAGUAGACAAAAACCUAAGCAUAACUUAGAAAAUAUGUGACAAUAUAGAAAUCAUUAGCAUAUAUUUUUAUUUAUACUGUCAUUUAUAUUUCCAUCACUCUUUCUCAAUAUUGAAUCUGGCCUUAAACAUAUUCACAAUUCAAUUACAAUGUAAUUAAUUAAAGGGAGUCCAUUGGCUUUUGCUUCAAGUAAGAAAACUCAGGGCUGCAUCUCUCUACAUGUGCCUCUCCCCUCCAGAUUUCAGGCUGCCAAUUUGUCUUAUGACCUCAGUUUUCUGAAGGGGCCAAAAAACAUCAUUGAUUUUCAGUGUGUCCAGCUUUUUUCUUGUAGGACAGGCACGAUGACUUUCAGGAACUUUACACAUCAAGGCUAAAACCCAAAGUCUUUUCAAAGAGUUUUAAACAAGGAUGUGUUAUGAUUCUAUUUUCCUUUUUUAAAGGUUACUCUAAUUUGUGGAGUAGAUUUCAGAGGAGCCAUCAUGGAAGCAAAGAGAGGAAGUAGAAGGCCAUGAUGUUCAAUGACAUAAGUAAGAAAUGCUGAUGGUUUCUAAUGAUGACAUAAUCUGAUAUUGUUGAGAGAUGUAAGGGACAAGGUCAGGAGAUAGGGAGACAUUGAAGAGCUCAAGUGCCUUGGAUGAAUGUGUCUACUACUAUGGUCUUGAAGUUAUUCAGGGGGAGAUUAGGACUUGGUUUGAAUAGAAAGACACUUGCAACAAGGAAAGAAAUGUCUCAAUAAAUGAAAUAGGGAAAGGAGGAAUUAUUGGAUGACAGGACAAAGAAAGGAAGAGCAUAAAAUAUUCAAAAGUCAUGAGACUAACUAUAAUAUAAUUACAUCUUUAUGCUUAUUUUUUAACAUCCAGCUAAAUGUAUAAUCAUCUUAGACUGAAUUGAGGAGAAAAGAUGACACCUAUUUCACAUCCUUUCCUUAAAGUCCAUGGGAUGAGGGAAAAUGAGCAGUUUCUACUUGAUGUAAAGGAAGAAAAUAUGGCAUCUGCAGAAUUCUAGGUUUCAAUUAACCCCCUUAGUGGAUGGAAAGAAUAGACAGAUUAAGACGUUAGUGGAGUGAAUUAAUCCUGAAACGGGUUCUAAAAUGUAAAUGAUCUUUGAGAAAAGUAAAGAGUGAGGUGUUUGUUCAGCUAUAGGAACAGAGAAUGCUAAAAGUAAAUACGUGCAAGAUAAAUGAAUCUUUCACAUUAUGUGAGAAGUGAAAACUACAGGGAUGUGGACAAAGCAACUAAUAGCCCAGCAGCUCUUCAAGUCUGUGGAUGCCCUGACCUCACCAGAUUGCACUGAGUUUUAGCAGAGCCUGGGUGGCUCUGGGGGUGUGGAUCUCAGGGCAGGAAGGUGGCAGCCACACUGGAGAACUAAUUAGCAUGUGUGUCACAAUUAGAUGGCAAGAGAAACAACUACACUAAGGAGAGUCAAGAAGCUAGAAAAUGCCCAGUGGCUGCUUGCAAAAAGUGUGGAAAGUAGAAACAGGUGGAGGCAGUAGAAAACAUUUGUCAUCGGAUGAACCAUUAACACUGAAACAGACCAUUCAUUCUAUGGCAGCUACCAAAAUCAAGAGGAUAUAAUCAUUUGUAUACCCUGUCUUGCUUUUUUUGGCUUGUCACACCCUGUCCCCAAUCCUAAAAUAUUUAUGGCCUCUUUACACACUUCUCUCACUUAAGCUGGUCUCAUCACUGUCCAGUACCUCCCUGGAAGCCUAGCUCUUUGGGCCUCUUCUUUUGUUCAUUCUUUUUUUAGCUCUGAUAAACUAUCUUUUAUAUAUAACCAACGCAGAAGUCUCAAUGGAAGCAUUUUCGGUCUUGUUAGUGAGAAAGAUUUUACUGUCUUUUAACUUUGUCAGUCCAGGCAAGAGCAAAGCAUUGUCUACAAAGAGAAGUGUCUGAUGGUAGUAUAGCAUUAAUUAUAAUUUAAUACAUUAUUGGAACAGCAGUCUUUCUUAGGAAAAAGUAGUUUUUUAAAUAUUAUUUUUCCAGGAUUUCUAGGGGGUGUCAGGGUUGCUAUUUAAGAAUGGGCUAAUGAAUGAAUUACACCUAAAUUAAGAGUACUUAGAGGAUCCAGGAUAGGAAAUUAUUUCCAGAUAAGGUCUAAAUUCUGAUUCUAGGUAUAUAAUGUUUUUCAAAAGGCAAAUUGUCUUCCUAACAAAUUGCUCCCACUAGUUUAGCAACAUAUAAAGAAGUAAUUCACAUGUGUUCAAUCAUUUCACAGGAAAAUUCCCAUGGUUUCCAGGAAAGAUGUUAAGAGGAAUAAUAUACAAUUAACUAUGCUAGAACCCUUCAGGGGCCAGUGAAAUAGGGAUGUAAAUAGGAUUUUAAAACGUCAUCAUAAACUAGAGUCCCUUUUAACAUAUACCUUAAAAAUCAACUGAUUAAUUGAUUUUACAUUACAUUUAUUUUUAAGCUCAAUAAUUUUACUAAUUCAGGAUUAUACUGUUCAUUGGAAAGAGCUAUUAAAAGGAAUGCCACAUAAAUUAGAGUGACAGCAUACAAUGUUUCAUUAAUAACCUCUAGUAGACAUAUAAUGAAAUGUAAUAUACAUAACUCUAGAGAAAUUGUAACAGUAGAAGUUAUUUUUUUAGGCUCUUCAUUGUGUAUAUCAAAUUUAGAUUUAAAUAUGAAAACUUCAAAGACUUGGUUUCCAAAAUCUUAGAAGUUGGUACCCAAUCUGAAAAACC